GGCCUGGAGGACUGGGGCGCUACAGACCUCUCCACCUUAUCAGACUCAGAUGACGAGGAUCAGCCUGCUCCACUGGUGGCCGGCAGGUACAGAGUCAUGGUGGAGAGCAGCAUGGCCAGCACUGACGACAUCAUCUUCAACUGUGGUGAUGUCAUCCAGCUUCUGCAUGAGGAAUCGUCAGGAAUGUGGAUGGUGAGGAAUAUAAGUCGUGGCGAAGAAGGCCGCGUCCUACCCGAAGACCUGCACAGGAUUCUGGGAGAAACCUGCUGAGAACCAAUCAGAACGGACGAUAGAUGACACAGUGUUCAUGAUGUGUGUCUCGUCUUCUCCUGUGUUUGUCGCUUAUUUGACUCACUUUAUGCCUCAAUACCUUCCACACACAGACUCAUAUAUUCCAUCAGCUUCCG